CGACAUUACAGUCGCAUAUCCAUCGAGAAAGGGCUAUAUCUCCACCGAUCAUGUGUUGAAUCCGAAAGUUGUGAGGGUGAUUUGUUCUAUCGCCGCCGUCUUAACCACUCCCCAACUUCUACAUGCCAAUCACUCUCAGGUGAAGAAAGGACGCAAAUCACUUACGUCAACCGCCAAUUACCACUCUGCCACAUCAGAUCGCCGCUACGGAUGCCUAAAAUGGUUUAAGAGAAAAUAAAUAUAAAAAAUCAACUACACUCCACAAUAUAUCGAAAAUCAACUACAAACCACAUUUUUAUCGAAAAUCAUGAAUACAGAUCUGAACCGAAUCUGAAAAUUCGAUCUAAAAUUGGCUACAGAUAGGAUGAAUUAACAGCUUUGCUCUGAUGAGUUCUCGAAACAUAAGUUGUCGGUGUUUUUUAUUACCGGUUUCAUCCUCGGGCUGAAUGAAUCGGCAAGAGCCGCGACUCGAGGCAAUCUGAGAGAGAUUGUUGCCUAUUGAAUGACGGCUUCUGGUAUUUGGAGAGACUCAAAAACAGUAA
rnacentral:lncRNA from 1 species